GUAACAAGGUCUCCGUUGGUGAACCAGCGGAGGGAUCAUUACCGAGUUUACAACUCCCAAACCCAAUGUGAACGUUACCAAACUGUUGCCUCGGCGGGAUCUCUGCCCCGGGUGCGUCGCAGCCCCGGACCAAGGCGCCCGCCGGAGGACCAACCAAAACUCUUUUUGUAUACCCCCUCGCGGGUUUUUUAUAAUCUGAGCCUUCUCGGCGCCUCUCGUAGGCGUUUCGAAAAUGAAUCAAAACUUUCAACAACGGAUCUCUUGGUUCUGGCAUCGAUGAAGAACGCAGCGAAAUGCGAUAAGUAAUGUGAAUUGCAGAAUUCAGUGAAUCAUCGAAUCUUUGAACGCACAUUGCGCCCGCCAGUAUUCUGGCGGGCAUGCCUGUCCGAGCGUCAUUUCAACCCUCGAACCCCUCCGGGGGGUCGGCGUUGGGGAUCGGCCCUCCCUUAGCGGGUGGCCGUCUCCGAAAUACAGUGGCGGUCUCGCCGCAGCCUCUCCUGCGCAGUAGUUUGCACACUCGCAUCGGGAGCGCGGCGCGUCCACAGCCGUUAAACACCCAACUUCUGAAAUGUUGACCUCGGAUCAGGUAGGAAUACCCGCUGAACUUAAGCAUAUCAAUA
rnacentral:rRNA from 1 species